rnacentral:rRNA from 2 species
CACGUAGGGGGCGAGCGUUGUCCGGAUUUAUUGGGCGUAAAGAGCUCGUAGGCGGCUCAGUAAGUCGGGUGUGAAAUUUCAGGGCUCAACCCUGAAACGCCACCCGAUACUGCUGUGGCUAGAGUCCGGUAGGGGAGCGUGGAAUUCCUGGUGUAGCGGUGAAAUGCGCAGAUAUCAGGAGGAACACCAGCGGCGAAGGCGGCGCUCUGGGCCGGAACUGACGCUGAGGAGCGAAAGCAUGGGUAGCGAACAGG